GAUGAACGCUGGCGGCGUGCUUAACACAUGCAAGUCGAGCGAAGCACUUGGAACCGAUCCUUCGGGUGAAGUUCCAUUUGACUGAGCGGCGGACGGGUGAGUAACGCGUGGGUAACCUGCCUCAUACAGGGGAAUAACAGUUUGAAAAGACUGCUAAUGCCGCAUAAGCGCACAGGGCCGCAUGGCCCGGUGUGAAAAACUCCGGUGGUAUGAGAUGGACCCGCGUCUGAUUAGCUAGUUGGUGAGGUAACGGCCCACCAAGGCGACGAUCAGUAGCCGACCUGAGAGGGUGACCGGCCACAUUGGGACUGAGACACGGCCCAAACUCCUACGGGAGGCAGCAGUGGGGAAUAUUGCACAAUGGGGGAAACCCUGAUGCAGCGACGCCGCGUGGAUGAAGAAGUAUUUCGGUAUGUAAAGUCCUAUCAGCAGGGAAGAAAAUGACAGUACCUGACUAAGAAGCCCCGGCUAACUACGUGCCAGCCGCCGCGGUAA
rnacentral:rRNA from 1 species